ACUCCGCUUGAUCCUGGCGGACCCAACUGCUAUCGGGAUGAGACUAAGCCAUGCGAGUCGCACGCUUCCAGGCCAAUGUGGGAGCGUGGCAUACGGCUCAGUAACAUGUGGCUAACCUACCCUCCGGACCGGGACAACUUCGGGAAACUGAGGCUAAACCC
rnacentral:rRNA from 1 species